AUGGUUUUUUGAUUUUAAUUUAAAAUUUGAUCUGCACGAUGAUUAAUUAAAUUGCCGCAGUAUUUUAACUGUGCUAAGGUAGCAUAAUCAUUAGCUUUUUAAUUGAAAGCUGGAAUGAAUGAUUGGACGAGAUGAUUUCUGUCUCUUUUUGAUUUUUUUUUUAAUUUUAUCUUUAAGUGAAAAAGCUUAAUUGAUUUUAGAAGACGAGAAGACCCUAUAGAGUUUUAUAUUUUCUUUUAAUUUUUUAUUAGAAUAGUUUUUAAAAUUUAAUAUUUGGUUGGGGUGACUUGAAGAUUUAAUUAAUUCUUUAAAUUGAAUAUUGAUGAUAAUUAAUUUUAGAUUUUAGUAUUAUUAUAAUUAAAUUAAAUUACCUUAGGGAUAACAGCGUAAUUUUUUUUUUUAGUUCAUAUUUUAAGAAAAGUUUGCGACCUCGAUGUUGGAUUAAAGCUUAUUUUGGAUGCAAUAGUUUAUUAAUUAGGUCUGUUCGACCUUUAAAGCUUUACAUGAUCUGAGUU
rnacentral:rRNA from 1 species